GCUCGGUCCGACUCAGCGGUGGGGAGUGAGCCAGGCCUCCCGCCACCGCUGCUGCCGCCACCACUGCGUCGGGCUGGUGCAGCCCCGGGCCAGGCCGCGGCCGGGGCAGGAGCGCAGGGGCUUUGUUAUGCACCUAAAGCCAUAUUGGAAGCUCCAGAAGAAAGAGCACCCCCCGGAAGUCAGCAGGGAAACGCAGAGAACUCCUAUGAACCACCAAAAGGCUGUAAAUGAUGAAACAUGCAAAGCUAGCCACAUAACAUCAAGUGUCUUUCCUUCAGCCUCUCUCGGUAAAGCAUCAUCUCGAAAGCCAUUUGGGAUCCUUUCUCCAAAUGUUCUGUGCAGUAUGAGUGGGAAGAGUCCUGUAGAGAGCAGCUUGAAUGUUAAAACCAAAAAGAAUGCACCAUCUGCAACGAUCCACCAGGGCGAAGAAGAAGGACCACUUGAUAUCUGGGCUGUUGUGAAACCUGGAAAUACCAAGGAAAAAAUUGCAUUCUUUGCAUCCCACCAGUGUAGUAACAGGAUAGGAUCUAUGAAAAUAAAAAGUUCCUGGGAUAUUGAUGGGAGAGCUACUAAGAGAAGGAAAAAAUCAGGGGAUCUUAAAAAAGCCAAGGUACAGGUGGAAAGGAUGAGGGAGGUUAACAGCAGGUGCUACCAACCUGAGCCUUUUGCAUGUGGCAUUGAGCACUGUUCUGUGCACUAUGUGAGUGACAGUGGGGAUGGAGUCUAUGCUGGGAGGCCUCUGUCAGUUAUACAGAUGGUUGCCUUCUUGGAGCAAAGAGCCAGUGCUCUGCUAGCUAGCUGUUCAAAAAACUGCACAAACUCACCUGCAAUUGUGAGGUUUUCUGGCCAAUCCAGAGGUGUGCCUGCAGUGUCUGAGUCCUAUUCUGCCCCAGGAGCUUGUGAAGAACCCACAGAAAGGGGAAAUCUUGAGGUUGGUGAACCACAGAGCGAACCAGUCCGUGUCCUUGACAUGGUAGCCAAGUUGGAGUCUGAGUGCCUGAAGCGGCAGGGCCAGCGUGAGCCUGGGAGCCUCUCAAGGAAUAACAGCUUCCGUCGAAAUGUGGGCAGAGUAUUGCUUGCAAAUAGCACUCAGGCUGAUGAAGGCAAAACAAAGAAAGGCGUCUUGGAGGCACCUGACACUCAGGUGAAUCCUGUGGGGUCUGUAUCUGUGGAUUGUGGCCCUUCAAGAGCUGAUCGUUGUUCUCCUAAGGAGGACCAGGCCUGGGACGGUGCUUCUCAGGACUGCCCCCCAUUGCCAGCAGGAGUGAGUUUCCACAUAGACAGUGCAGAGUUAGAGCCGGGUUCGCAAACUGCCGUGAAAAACAGCAACAGAUAUGAUGUGGAAAUGACAGAUGAACUCGUUGGGUUACCUUUUUCCUCUCAUACCUAUUCCCAAGCCUCUGAAUUGCCCACAGAUGCUGUUGAUUGUAUGAGCAGAGAGCUUGUGUCCCUUACUAGCCGAAAUCCUGAUCAAAGAAAAGAAUCUUUGUGCAUUAGUAUCACUGUGUCCAAGGUAGACAAAGACCAGCCUUCCAUUUUAAACUCCUGUGAAGACCCAGUUCCAGGGAUGUUGUUUUUUUUGCCACCUGGUCAGCACUUGUCAGACUAUUCCCAGUUGAAUGAAAGCACAACAAAAGAGUCUUCAGAGGCCAGCCAGCUUGAAGAUGCUGCUGGGGGUGACAGUGCAUCUGAGGAAAAAAGUGGGUCUGCUGAGCCAUUUGUACUGCCAGCCUCUUCUGUGGAAAGUACAUUACCAGUGCUUGAGGCAUCCAGUUGGAAGAAGCAGGUGUCGCAUGACUUCCUGGAGACCAGGUUUAAAAUCCAGCAGCUUUUGGAGCCUCAGCAGUACAUGGCUUUUCUGCCCCACCACAUUAUGGUAAAAAUCUUCAGGUUACUUCCCACCAAGAGUUUAGUGGCCCUUAAAUGUACCUGCUGCUAUUUCAAGUUUAUCAUUGAGUACUACAAUAUCAGGCCAGCAGAUUCUCGCUGGGUUCGAGAUCCACGCUAUAGAGAGGAUCCUUGCAAACAGUGCAAGAAAAAGUAUGUGAAAGGGGAUGUGUCCCUGUGCCGAUGGCACCCCAAGCCCUAUUGCCAGGCAUUGCCCUAUGGGCCAGGGUAUUGGAUGUGCUGCCACCGGUCUCAGAAAGGAUUCCCUGGCUGUAAGCUGGGGCUUCAUGACAAUCACUGGGUUCCUGCCUGCCACAGCUUUAAUCGGGCAAUCCAUAAGAAAGCAAAAGGGACUGAAGCUGAAGAGGAAUACUAAAGUCCAUGUGAGAGGCAACAAAAGGACCGGUUUCUAAAGCUGCAAAACACCUAGAUACACCGUUCAAAUGAGCGUAGCCCCCUGAGUCAUCACUCUAGAAGAAUCUGUACAUCAUCAGGACUGCAUUGCUCAGGCAUUUUCUAAACUCUAAAUUUACGAGCUGUACAAAAAAAUUGGUCUUGUUGUUUAUAGUGGCAUCUCAUGUUUGAACCCGGGUGGUAUCCCACAGUUGGAUUCAGUUGGCUGUGAAUAACUGCCUGUUUUCCUAAAUCAAACCCAUCCUCAAAGGAUGAAGACUCACCACCAUCCAGGACAUUCAGAAGAGUUCACUGCAGAUGCUGCAGGUUUAAAGGAGAUCAACAUAAAGGACCUAGAGUACAGCUUGCCUGUAGACGUCAGCUAUGGCUGACAUUGACUAUGGCUCUACACUGGCCCAGCCUGGACACUGGAUAAACAACUCUCUUGGUUGGUUUUCACAGAUCAGCCACUCUUGAUCUGGUUUUCAUGUGGGACACAAAGCUGUGACUGCGUGAGGGGUUAAAGUGACCAAGAGCAGAGGGCACACCCUUACUUGAUCAUCUGAAGCAAAAACCAGAACCAGGGAAACUAGAGGAGGAGUCAGGGAGCUGCUGCUCCUAUUCCUGGAGUGGUUCACCUCUCCCCUGCCCAGUGGAUGGUCCAGACCCAAGGAAGGAGUGAAUUGAAAGCUAAGGAGGGGCUCAGGUAAGAGUAACAUUUGCUUUUUUAGGCUCUCUUAAAUGACUCCAGGUUAAAACAGACAUACGAGAGGACUGUUCAAACCCUAAGCACGUUGGUGGCUCUGUGCUUAGGAGAUACCUCUUUUGGAACCCAACCCUAUGCCCCUGCUUGGCUGGGUGCCUUUCAGCGCCCUCUGCACAUCUGCCACCACAUGCCCCUCUUCUUGUCUGUCACCGUAUCUUUGGCCCUCCCCAUCUGUAGGUUCUGCAUCGCAGAUUCAACCAGCCUCAGAUUUAAAAUACUCAGAAAAAAACAUUGUGUUUGUACUGAACAUACACACUUUUUUUCUUGUCAUUAUUCCCUAAACAAUACAAGCAUAACAACUGUUUACAUUAGGUAUUAUAAGCAAUCUAGAGGUGAUUUAAAGUAGAUGGGAGGCUAUGCAUUGGUUAUAUGCAAAUACUAAGCCAUUUUCCAUCAGAGACUUGAGCAUCUGCAGAUACCGAGGGACCACUGUGGAGCUUGCCCACCCACUGCACUCAACUCAGAGGGCAUCGCCCACAGUGCCUCACACAACACACUCUGUAAAAUGUGUGCAUUCCUCUCGAGUGACCAUUUUAAUGUGAGGAGUGCCUCCAGGACCUGACUGCUCUGGGCCAUACCAUAAUUUUCUGUUUAGUAUGAGAAACCUGACAGGGAGGUAAAGGGGUCUUGGAGGACCUUGUCCUCUGGCCAUAGCUGGUCUCAUGGGAGCAUCCUUGGUGGAAACUCCCACUGCAGCUAUGUGGGGUUUGCUCGGUACCUCUCAUUGUGCAUCUGGUAUAACCUCAGUUCUGUUAGCACCAGUAGUAGCUCCCCUAGCAGCAGGCUCUGAGCCGGUGGUUAUGUUAUGACCUAGAGGUUCCCUUCCUGGGCUUUGUCCAAUCACCGCUUCUAACUUGGACUUGUCAGUACCUUCGUGCCAACCUUUUUGGACCAGCUUGGGGCACUGUUUUUAUGUGAGUGUUCCCAGGUAUUUUCCAUAGCUCCGUUCCUUCUUCACUCAGCAGACUGGCUGUUUGUCCUCCUUUAUCUACAGCCUGAUACAAAAACAUGAAAUUAGCCUGCACACUGCGAGCCCUUCUUUUGUGUACACCACCGACUAAACCAAUGAGAGCUGAUGUUAUCUAGCUGUAUGUCGGGUAUGCCUCGUUUAAAGGCAUUCUCUACUGUGCAGUGUCUGACACUUGGGGAAUCUGAUUGUUUCUGGGGUUGGUUUGUUUGUUUUGAGAUGGAGUCUUGCUCUGUCGCCCAGACUGGAGUGCGGUGGUGCGAUCUCAGCUCACUGCAACCUCAGCCUGCUGGGUUCAAGUGAUUCUUCUGCCUUAGCCUCCCGAGUAGCUGGGACUACAGGCAUGCGCCACCACGUGGGCCCAGCUGAUUUUUUUAUUUUUUUAUUUUUACUAGAGAUGGGGUUUCACCAUAUUGGCCAGGCUGGUCUUGAACUCCUGACCUUGUGAUCUGCCCACCUCAGCCUCCCAAAGUGCUGGGAUUACAGGCGUGAGCCACCGUGCCUGGCUGUUUCUGUUUUUUUGAGAUGGGGGUCUCUCGCUUAGGCUGGAGUGCAGUGGCAUGAUCUCGACUCAUUGCAGCUUCAACCUCUUGGGCUCAAGUGAUUCUCCUGCCUCAGUCUUCCGAGUAGCUGCAACUACAGCUGCAUGUCACUAUGCCUGGCUAAUUUUUGUAUUUUUUUGUGGAGACAGUUUUGCCACGUUGCCCAGGCUGGGAAUCUGAUUGCUUUUAUCCCCGUUUUUCCUCAAAAAAGCUAGUGUUGCAAUCUUUGUGAGUUGGUCAAGGUACCUGUGUGGGAGAUGUGCAGUCUCAACUGACAUACAUGUCAUUUCCUGCCUGUCAUUUGUGGCCAUAGCUGAUGUUUGCACAACCUCUUGGGAAGAGCAAACAUUGGUGGUUAUAAACCCUUGGGUAACAUCCAGUGCAUUUAUACCAAACUGAUGUGAGGAAAAGCACAGUAAGGUAGCAUCACCAUUCCAGGUGGUUGGUUUGACCUUAACAGUUUUAGGGGAGCAGAGCCAGUGUCUGGGAAGAACUGAAAUGGAAGCAGAGAUGGCAGUCCCUUAUGUGGCAGCAGCCCAUGUAAGAGGUGAUGUUCCUCUAUCUGCAAAGCAGAACAAAACCUUUUACCCUUUCUCCCAGAGGCCCCCUCAGCCAAGCAUCCUUCAGUGAGCAGAGAACAGGCCUCAGAACAAACUCCUUUUGGGACCCCCCUCUCAUUCUUUUUGAAUUAAGGUGGACUUUUCCUUUACAUACUGGUACUGAAGUCUCAGAUCUGUUUAUUAAGAAGUAUGAAGGGCUCAUGCCUGUAAUCCGAGCACUUUAGGAGGCCAAGGUGGAAAAAUCAUUAAGCUCAGGAGUUUGAGACCAGGCUGGGUAGGAAAGUGAGACUCUGUCGUUGUACAAAAAAUAAAUGAGUGAGGCAUGGUGGCACACACCUGUAGCCCCUGCUAUUCAGGAGGCUGAUGCAGGAGGACAGCUUGAGCCUAGGAAGUUGGCUGCAGUGAGCCAUGAUUGCAUCACUGCACUGCAGCUUGGGUGACCCUGUCUCAAAAAAUAUGAAGAUGUUGAUAAAGUUCUUAAAAAACUAAAAAUCAAUUAGUUAAAUAAAAAAUAAAAAAUCAAUUAGUUGCCAAACAUGAGUAAAAUGGAAAGCAAGGUUGUAUUUAAUUGUAUCUGUUCCCUCUCCACUGUGAGGCUGGAUAAUCUAUUUGCAUAACUUGAGUGUUUGCAGUCUGGUUCAAGGGUAGGGUUGGAGCCAGGCCUGGCCCACCCACCCUUCCCUAUUCUGGGACCGAACUGUUGGCCUUCACUCUGCCCUUCCUCACCAAUCCUCCCCUAUACAGACAACGCAGCAUGAUUCUGCUACAGGGUGUGUGGCCUGUCUUGAGCAAUACCCUUUCUCUACCAGCCCUUAUUUUCUCUCCUAAGCAGAGAUGACUUGGCUGCCCUAGUGCCUAAGCUGGGACCUCUCGUGAACUUUUCCUUUUCCACGGCCAGUGGUCUUGGCUUUAGGCCCCUCAGAUUUCUAAGUCUGUGCUCCAUGCAGGGUCUUGAAAGGAAACUGCUGCACACUUGAAAUGAGUAAAUUCAAGGAUUUAUUAUAAGGGUGUAGAUAUAGGGACAAGCCCUUCCCAGUAUUUGCAGGGCCCAUGGCAGGAACACAGAGAGCCCUCCUGCAGCACAUCCCCUCCAGCAUCCUCCCACCCUCUGUACUGAGCCACGCCUCAGCCACUUCUCAGGACGAAGGGAUCUGUCUGGAGGACAAAGCUGGGGAAGGGCUGGAGGUCCUGAGGUUCUGGGAACCUAGGUAAUGGUUUAUAAGGAGAACAAAGAUUCUGGAACAGUGCCUGCCCCCUUGAUCCUUCAAACUCCUUGCCCAUGAAGAGGCGCAGGGCAGGAAGGCCAAAGGAUUGGCCCUACUAAUGUGCAGGAGCUGGUGCAGAGGCCCCAGCUGCCUGGUUGGGGGUAGUAGUGGGUGGGGUAGUAGUGGGCAGGGUAGUGGCUGCACAUUAGAAUCAACUGUGGAGCUUUUAAAAUUCUCAAUGCUCAGGGCACACCCUAGACCUAUUAAAUCAACCACUGGGGGUGGGAGCUCCCAGGUGAUUCCAGUUGCAGGUGGGGUUGAGAACUACUGACACGUGUAAUAGAACCACGGGGUGAUUGUGGUUGGGAUGAUGGUUCCCAGGUCUGGUGGAAGGAGGAGGGUGGUUGCUGGGAUGGGAAGGAGGGAGGAAGGAACAAAGACAUGGCAGGGAAGGAGCCAGGGAAUGAACACCUUGAGCCUCAAAGGGCCUGGAGACCACCGAUGCACCACUCCCAGCAUAGUCUCUCUGGCAGUGAGCAGGAUGAAGGGGAGGGAGUGGACCUAGAGGGGCAAAUGUGAACCAGAAACAGCCUUCUGUGGGACAUUUCAAGCAGGGAGAGAGUCACUAUUUUGUCAGAACAAGCCUCCCCCCAGCUCUUCUUCAGCUUCCCAAAGGCCAGUGCAAAAUUUCCUUCCUUCUCCAUGCCUGUGGAAGAAGGAAACCUAUUUCCUAAAACUUGAUGAUCCCUAGGAGGCCCUAAAUGCACACCUGGGAAGCUGUUCACCAGGCUCUAGAUAAAAUUCGUUCCAUCCAACAGUUCCAGACCACUGCAAUAAAGCAAGUCAUGAAUUUUCUGGUGCAUAUACAAGUUAUGUUUAUGUGAUACUGUACUAAGUGUACAAUAGCAUUAUGUCUAAAAAACAAUGUACAUUAAGGAAUGCUUUAUUGCUUAAAACAUGCUAACAAUCAGCUGUGAGUCAUAAUCUUUGCUGGUGUAUGGUUUGCCUCAAUAUUGAUAGCUGACGACUGAUCAGAGUUGGUGGCUGCAGAAGGUUGGGUGGCUAUGGCAAUUUAAGACAACAAUGAAGUUUGCUGUAUCGAUUAACUCUUCCUUUCACGAAAGAUUUCUCUGUAGCAUGUGAUGCUGUUUGAUAGCAUUUUACCCCCAUUAUAACUUACUUCAAAAUCUCAAA